rnacentral:rRNA from 1 species
AAGAAACCAACAGGGAUUGCCCCAGUAACGGCGAGUGAAGCGGCAACAGCUCAAAUUUGAAAUCUGGCUCUCGGGCCCGAGUUGUAAUUUGUAGAGGAUGCUUUUGGUGAGGUGCCUUCCGAGUUCCCUGGAACGGGACGCCAUAGAGGGUGAGAGCCCCGUCUGGUUGGACACCGAUCCUCUGUAAAGCUCCUUCGACGAGUCGAGUAGUUUGGGAAUGCUGCUCUAAAUGGGAGGUAUAUGUCUUCUAAAGCUAAAUACCGGCCAGAGACCGAUAGCGCACAAGUAGAGUGAUCGAAAGAUGAAUAGAACUUUGAAAAGAGAGUUAAACAGUACGUGAAAUUGUUGAAAGGGAAGCGCUUGUGACCAGACUUGGGCUUGGUUGAUCAUCCGGGGUUCUCCCCGGUGCACUCUUCCGGCUCAGGCCAGCAUCAGUUCGCCCUGGGCGAUAAAGGCUUCGGGAAUGUGGCUCUCUCCGGGGAGAGUUAUAGCCCGCUGCGUAAUACCCCGUGGCGGAUUGUGGUUCACCGCAUUCGCAAGGAUGCUGGCGUAAUGCUCAUCAGUUACCCGUC